CCUACGGGUGGCAGCAGUAGGGAAUCUUCCGCAAUGGGCGAAAGCCUGACGGAGCAACGCCGCGUGAGUGAAGAAGGAUUUCGGUUCGUAAAGCUCUGUUGUUAGGGAAGCGGUACCUAACCAGAAAGCCACGGCUAACUACGUGCCAGCAGCCGCGGUAAUACGUAGGUGGCAAGCGUUGUCCGGAAUUAUUGGGCGUAAAGCGCGCGCAGGUGGUUUAAUAAGUCUGAUGUGAAAGCCCACGGCUCAACCGUGGAGGGUCAUUGGAAACUGUUAAACUUGAGUGCAGGAGAGAAAAGUGGAAUUCCUAGUGUAGCGGUGAAAUGCGUAGAGAUUAGGAGGAACACCAGUGGCGAAGGCGGCUUUUUGGCCUGUACUGACACUGAGGCGCGAAAGCGUGGGGAGCAAACAGGAUUAGAUACCCUUGUAGUC
rnacentral:rRNA from 1 species